UUGUGCAUUUUCUCAGCUCUUCUCCUUUCAAUUGCCACCCAUUCAGUGCUGACAGAGCAAUAAUGAUACUGUGGUUGAACUUGGUGUCCUUACUUGUAUCCCUUGGAGGUGUCAGAUCUGAUGUCCAACUGGUGGAGUCCGGAGGGGAUGUGAGGAGACCUGGAGAGUCCCUCCGUCUCUCCUACCAAGCCUCUGGAUUCACCUUCAGCAGCUAUCAUAUGGCCUGGGUGAGACAGGCUCCAGGGAAAGGACUGGAAUGGGUGGGCUACAUUUAUCCAAGCUCAUCUUACAUUUACUACUCUGACAAAGUCAAGGGACGCUUCACCAUCUCCAGGGACGAUGCCAAAAGCCAGCUGUAUCUGCAAAUAAACAAUCUGAAAGAAGAGGACACAGCUGUCUAUUACUGUGCAAGAGGCACAGUGAGAGGAAUCCCAGGAAUGAAACAUACUGGCAAUUGCAAAUCUCUACUGCCAUGA